rnacentral:rRNA from 1 species
AGUGAACGCUGGCGGUAGGCCUAACACAUGCAAGUCGAACGGCAGCACAGUAAGAGCUUGCUCUUACGGGUGGCGAGUGGCGGACGGGUGAGGAAUACAUCGGAAUCUACUUUUUCGUGGGGGAUAACGUAGGGAAACUUACGCUAAUACCGCAUACGACCUACGGGUGAAAGCAGGGGAUCUUCGGACCUUGCGCGAUUGAAUGAGCCGAUGUCGGAUUAGCUAGUUGGCGGGGUAAGCCCACCAAGGCGACGAUCCGUAGCUGGUCUGAGAGGAUGAUCAGCCACACUGGAACUGAGACACGGUCCAGACUCCUACGGGAGGCAGCAGUGGGGAAUAUUGGACAAUGGGCGCAAGCCUGAUCCAGCCAUACCGCGUGGGUGAAGAAGGCCUUCGGGUUGUAAAGCCCUUUUGUUGGGAAAGAAAAGCAGCAGGUUAAUACCCCGCUGUUCUGACGGUACCCAAAGAAUAAGCACCGGCUAACUUCGUG